CCUACGGGAGGCAGCAGUGGGGAAUUUUGGACAAUGGGGGAAACCCUGAUCCAGCAAUGCCGCGUGUGUGAAGAAGGCCUUCGGGUUGUAAAGCACUUUUAUUCGGAGAGAAAUCCCUUGGGCUAAUACCCUGAGGGUCUGACGGUACCGGAUGAAUAAGCGCCGGCUAACUACGUGCCAGCAGCCGCGGUAAUACGUAGGGCGCGAGCGUUAAUCGGAAUUACUGGGCGUAAAGCGUGCGCAGGCGGUUUUGUAAGACAGAUGUGAAAGCCCCGGGCUCAACCUGGGAAUUGCAUUUGUGACUGCAAGGCUAGAGUGUGUCAGAGGGAGGUGGAAUUCCGCGUGUAGCAGUGAAAUGCGUAGAGAUGCGGAGGAACACCGAUGGCGAAGGCAGCCUCCUGGGAUAACACUGACGCUCAUGCACGAAAGCGUGGGGAGCAAACAGGAUUAGAUACCCUGGUAGUCCACGCCCUAAACGAUGUCAACUAGUUGUCGGGAAUUAAAUUUCUUGGUAACGCAGCUAACGCGUGAAGUUGACCGCCUGGGGAGUACGGCCGCAAGGUUAAAACNCAAAGGAUUGACGG
rnacentral:rRNA from 1 species